rnacentral:rRNA from 1 species
UACGUGAGUUCCGAGCAUUACCCGGAAUUACUGGGUGUAAAGAGUUUGUAGGUGGAGUGACAAGUUGUGUAUGAAAGACCGAGGCUUAACCUCGAGUUAGUGCACAAAACUGUUAUUCUAGAAUUAGGGAGAGGUAAGCGGAAUUCUGAGUGUAGGGGUGCAAUCCGUAGAUACUCAGAGGAACACCAAAAGCGAAGGCAGCUCACUGGAACUAUAUUGACACUAAAGAACGAAAGCAUGGGGAGCGAAAAGG